UCCAGUUGUUCACAUGAAAGCAAAAUGAAAAAAACUAGCUACCCUUUCGCUACACAAUAAAAGGCAUCAGUGAAAAAUACAAAAUGCCUUCCUAAAAAAAGGCAGCCAGCCCGAGCCCAAAUAGUAGUGUUGAGUGAAUGUGUAAAAAAGAAAAGAAAAACGAGGUGGCGACGGUAAACUGGAAUUUAUUUUCCUUACUGACUGCUGCUUCCUUAUUACUGCACACACACAGUGUGUUUUUUCAAAUGAUUUUAAUAAAAUAAAUGCGGCAAUAAGAUAAAGUGUGAUAUAAAACCACAAUUGUGCAUCGAUUAAAUGUUAUGCUGUGUAUCGAUUUAGUAAAAUAUAAUGAAACGGUCGGCCAAAAUGGGCGAAUAAAAAAAAACAAGUGCAUUUGCGAAAAAAGUGGUGACGCUGGAAGAAAAGAAGAGAAGAAACAACACACCAAUACGAAAGCAGAACGACUGCUUGACGCUGACGACGACAGAGAGGUGUGUGAGUGAGCUUGUUGUAUGUCUGGCCAGAGCAGUUCUGCGGCUGUUGUUGUUGUUGUCGCUGCUGCUCUUAUUGUGGAUAUUGUGCGUUUCAGCUUCGCUGUUGUGUCGGCUUAACAUAUAUAGUGUUUUAUAUAUAGAAAUAUUAGAUAUUUUCAUGCUAACUUAACUAAAACACAUUUUUGUUUAAUGCGAGUUUUUCGUUGUUUCGGUCUGUGUUGUGUUUUUAUUAGUGAUUAACCAAAUGGCUUAAAAUUAUUCCCCCCUUUAAUAAGUGUAUUAUUCACAAAAUUCUUAUUUGGUUUAAAGAAAAAACAAAGUUAAAACAAAGUGUUGUGCAAAAUUGUAUACAUAACUAAAUAUAUAGAUUGUGCAGCCUCGUAUUUGGUCGAAUACAAUCUACGGAAAAUAAUAAAAUUACCUUGGCGUUUGGCAUCGUUGUGACCACGACGGCGGCGGCGGCGACCAAGCCCAAAAACCAACAAACUCCAGUCAAGCAUUUCAAAUGCAACUAAGCAUAAAUUACAAGAAGCAACGUAGAAAAAAGAAGAAAACACACAUACAGUAAAAUUUUUCAUACACCUCCAUCUCUCCACCCGCUCGAUAACAGCCCAACUUCACUGCUGCAUUUUUGCUCCACACAAUUACUCAUACAACAGUAGCAAAAAAGAAAGAAAGAAAAAAAAACGUAUAGAAGGACUUGCAGUUGUCCUGUCAUACUUACUACACUUUGACGAAAAUUUAGACCACUACUGACUUGACUCAUACCGUCAAACAAACAUUUCGUCAUCAGUCAUUAUCAUCAGUUUUUUCUUCUUGUUGUAAGAAGGCGUUGGAAAUAAAGCAAUAAUAACAACAACAACUACAAAAACACAAUAUUGACAUAAAACUCAAGAAGCUAAGAAAGAAUAUAAGGAAAAGAGAAGACCGAAAAAAUACAAACGGAAACAUGACAACCGAAGAGUUGAAAGUGGUUUUACAUCGUAGUAGUGAUCAUUCCGGUUUUGGUUUUUCAUUGUUGGGCACUACCGGGCCCCCACAUGUUAUCUAUGACAUUGUGGAGAAUUCACCGGCAGCUGAUUGUGGUGUGGUUGAGGCCGGAGAUGUCAUAUUGAAAGUAAAUGGCAUCGAUGUACAUCAGUAUACAACGAAGGAGGUUUUAAAAUGUCUGCGCCUCUCUGAAGAUUUAGUUACUUUGGAGCUAAAAAGAGAUCCAAAACUCAAGGCGCGCAUCAAAGAACAAUUGGCAAAUACGAAAAGUCCCCAUUACAUAGACAUAGAGACAUCACCCACAAAUAACUACGAUUAUCAUCAUCCUCAACAGCAGCAACAACAUCACCACCACCACCACCACCACCACCGUCAGCAGCAAUCGCAACAUCAAAUCAGAUCAUCACCUCAGCACCAUUAUAAUCAGCACCAUCAACAACAACAACAACACGAAGCUGCCAACAACAGUAACAGUAGUAGUAGUAGUAAUAAAUUACAACAACAUUACGAGGCGACAACAACAACGACGCACAAUUAUCAAACGAAUAUGACGACAACAACAAUAGUACAUCAGCAGCAUUCAUCGCCCCACUCAUCCCCAGCUAGCAAUUCACCUGCCUCUUCGUCGCGUUUUAAAUCGCCCACAAGUUUGCCACAACGUCAUAACCAGCAGGCAGCAGCAUCGGCCGCAACUGUAAACCUUUCGAAUCACAGUCGCAGCUCUUCCGCCUCAUCGAAUAAAAUUCAAUUGGAGGGAAGCAGCAGUGGAGGGGCUGGUGGUGGCAGCGUGAUUGCAGGCACCUCAGCAGCAAAUACAGCCACCUCACCAACAUCGCGCAUACCCUCACGCAUACCGCAAGCCUUAAAAUGUAACCAAAAGCCUCAACAAUCGCCACAGCAUAAGAGACCAAGGCCCUCACAAAUACCCACUAAGGCCAUGACCUCGUCAAUAACAUCGACGACGGGCUGUGAUCUGAAUGCGGGGGCCACAACCACAACCACUAAUGGCAAUAGCAUUGGUCCCCAUUCCCUGCAACAUUCGAACAGCUACAGCGGCAAUACGGCGGCGGCGGCGGCGGUGGCGGCAAGACAAAACAAAUCGAAUUCCUCGGAGGACAGGGACACACCGGAACCCAAUUCGGCACCACCACAACCUGCCAAGGCACCCCGUUUUGAGGCUUACAUGAUGACUGGCGAUUUGAUAUUGAAUCUUUCGCGUACUCCACAAACUAGCAAUCCCUUGCCCGUUCAUGCCAAAAAAGUGGACAGUUUGCGAGACUCGCCCAGUCGGGUGGGUCUGGCGCGAGCCAAUGGUGCCUUGGCCCCUAAGGCCUCGGGCGAGUCAUCACCCACCUCGUCUUCAUCGCAGGAAUCUCCCACACAUGCCCAUACCCAUACCCACAGCCAUAGCACAACCAAUACUGACUCCAAGAAUUUACACAAUAAGGAAAAAUCUCGUUUCCACAAGAAACAAGCGCUGGCGCAACAUCUUCAAAACUAUCAGCAGCAGCAGCAGCAGCAGGAGAGUCUCGAUACCACUUACAACAAUCGUCAGGACUCUUUGGCCAAUGACACCUUGCUGCUGUGUGAGGAAUUGGAAAAGGACGAUGAGGAAAACAUAGAGGACAACGAUCAGCAACAUGGCGGAGGCGGUGGAGGAGGUGGGGGUGGACGCCAACAUCGCCAUCAGCGUCAUCAACGCUAUGUGCAACAGAACAAGCAAACGCGUUACCAGCAACAAACGCGACAGGGGCAGCAAAAGAGCUAUGAGUAUUAUCAGAAUGAGGACGAAGAGCGUCAUGCGGACGAUGAUGAUGAGGACAACGAAGAGGACGAGGACUAUGAUGAUGGCAACUACGCUGCGGAGGAGGAUGAGGAUGAUAAUGACGAGGAUCAAACCCACUAUGAUAUUACCAAUCUGGAGACCUACAACAGUGGCGGCAUGGGUAUGGGCGGCAGUGUGCAUGCCGACGAUGAGGCUAGUGAUAGGCAGUGUCUAAUGCAAUAUGGCGAUGAUGAUGACGAUGAUGACGAAGAUGAUGAAAUGCUGGCCGAUGAUUCCAAUUCGUUGGGCUCCUCAUCUACCAAGCAGAAGUUAAAAGCUUUAAAACAAAAGGCUGCUUUGCGCUACAAACGGCGCUCCGAAGACAAUGUGGACUGUUCGCGUAAUCUGCGUAGCUCGGCUUCCUCAUCCUCAUCUACCACAGUGGGAGGUGGUCAUGGUGGCGGUGGUGGUGGUGGUGUUGGAGGCGGCGGUGGCGGCGGUGGCGGCGGUGGCGGCGGUAAUAAUACAUCACAAGACGAAACCUCAUUCUCAGUGCCCACUUCACCCAUAUCGCUGUCCACACCGCUCAUCGAUAAGGAGACCGCCAAUUCGGUGCCCACCAGCCCUGAACCCUCGAAUUUGGCCGCUGGCACUGCAGGGGCAGCGGUGGUUGACACAAGUGGUGUGGUGCGGCGUCACCAUCAUCACCACCACCACAAUGGGCAGAUCGUGCGCAAGUGUGAUAGUGCAGGUUUUCGCACCAGUAAGUCGGAAGAUCAUUUGCAGCAAAUUCAACGUGAAGGUAUGGCUGCUGUUAUACCCAUAGAUAUUGAUGAAGAUGUAAAUAGUUCUUUGAAUACACUAUUAGAUACACGGCAAGAUUCGGAAGAUUCCCAGAAUUCGGAUCGUGAUCGCAUUGUAUGGACUUAUAAUGCUCCCUUGCAACCACAUCAGAUAGCAGCUUUGCAACAGCAGCAACAACAACAACAACAACAGUAUUCUACAAAUUAUCAUACAAACAAUUCUCACAAUCAUUCACAUUCACACUCCAGUUCGAUGAGUUCAUCGCCCCAACAUUCAGCCGGUAGUCCUGCCUCGCCCACUUCGGUGUCCAGUUCGGUUAUGUCAUCGUCUGGUGGCUCUAAGGGUGCGUUUGGUCUUAGUGGUAAUAACAAUGGUCACAUGCAACAGCAUGUGCUUGUCACUAAUGGUAGUAGUAUGAAUUCGACUAAUACAACAAAUAUGGGUUUAUUAUAUUGUCCAAACGGUAGUAAUGGUGGUGGUGGCGGUGGAGUCGGUAGUAGUGGUAAUACUAACAAUACUUUGGGCGGUGGUAAUGGUGGAGGAGGAGGCGGCGGCGGAGAUCUUAGUGUCUCCGAAGCCAUUUCGAAUAUUUCUAGUCCCGACUACCAGGAUGAUGAUAAUUUACUCAGUUCUCGCGAUCUUUUAGGCGGUAUGAUACUUAGUGAUCCCAGUGAUUCGGAUUCAACGAUUUUGGUUUCGGAUGCUGCUGUGCAGCGUCAACAGCACCACAGACAACAUCAUCAUCACCAGCAGCAAAAGUCUUCAGAACACAAGGUUGUCAUCAAGGUGCGAGGGGCAGACAAUGGCAAUCUAAACAAUAACAAUGGUUCGCCCACGAGUAGAUCUCAACAUGCUGGAUCAUCUGAACACAAAGAUUCCGAAGAUGAACUUGCCACCCUAACCGAAGAACCUCUGCAAAAUGCCACAACCUCCUCAAUGGCAGGCGGCAGCAGCAAUAAUAAUGCCUCCUCUGGCGAUGGUCGUGAUUCAUCACCACCCGUAUCGGAUGAUGGCAGUGAUGUGGAAUCACUGCACUCGUAUCACUAUUCUCCUAAGGCUGUAGAUAUGCCAUCGGCCAUACGAUUGGCAAAAAGACUGUAUACUCUUGAUGGUUUCAAGAAAAGUGAUGUAUCGCGUCAUUUAAGUAAAAAUAACGAUUUUAAUCGUGCCGUUGCCGAUGAAUAUUUGAAAUAUUUCAAUUUCGAAACAAAGACUUUGGAUCAAUCGCUGCGUGAAUUCCUACAACAAUUUGCACUGUCGGGCGAAACACAAGAGCGUGAAAGAGUUUUGGUACAUUUUUCUAAGCGCUAUUUGGAUUGUAAUCCGGGAACAUUUAACUCACAAGAUGCCGUUCACACCUUAACCUGUGCUAUAAUGCUGCUAAACACUGAUCUACAUGGUCAAAAUAUUGGUCGCAAAAUGACAUGUAGUGAGUUCAUUGAAAAUCUCGCAGAACUUAAUGAUGGUGAAAACUUUCCCAAAGAUAUACUCAAGAGCUUGUAUCAGGCAAUCAAAACACAACCAUUGGAGUGGGCCCUGGAUGACGAUGCCAAUGAUUUGCAAAAACAACAAUCGGAUAAUAAAAAUAAUGUACAAUCUACAGCGCAUUUAGGACAAAAUCCAUUUUUGGAUUUACCAGAGACAGCGAAUGCCGUGGAAUAUAAGAAGGGCUAUGUCAUGCGCAAGAGCUGUUAUGAUGCAAAUUUCAAGAAAACUCCUUUUGGCAAAAGAUCUUGGAAAAUGUUUUACUGUACGCUUAGAGAUUUGGUUUUAUUUUUGCACAAAGAUGAGCACGGUUUUCGCAAGAGUCAAAUGUCUGAUAACCUUCACAAUGCCAUACGUAUUCACCAUGCAUUGGCCACCAAAGCUACCGAUUAUACUAAGAAACAACAUGUCUUUCGCUUACAAACUGCCGAUCAAGCAGAGUAUCUAUUCCAAACUAGUGAUUCCAAGGAGUUACAGUCAUGGGUGGAAACAAUAAAUUUCGUGUGUGCCGCCUAUUCAGCACCUCCUUUAGAAGGAGGUGUGGGUAGUCAAAAACGUUUCCAAAGACCACUGCUACCUAGUUCACAUACCAAAUUGUUACUGAAAGAACAGUUGGAGUCACAUGAACAGCAAUUGGGAAAAAUAGAAAAUACUUUAAUGGAACAUAAAAAAGGUCCCAUUCCAACAAAAGGCUUAGCUUUACAAAAUUACAAGGAAAAGGAGGCAUUUUUACAAUAUGAGUUACGUCGCUAUAAGGCGUAUGUGUCAAUUUUAGCAGCUAAAAUUUUAGCUGAUCAACAACAACAAUUCGAGUUGCAGCAAUCGAAUCAAUUAAACGAAGAGGAUUCCGAUAAGUUUUUUAAAAUCCAAACAGCCACCACUCCGAUACGAUUACAACCAUUAGCAACGACGACAGCAAAUAGUAUUAAUGCGAACGAGGAACAGGAACAACAACAACUUACAUCACCCCAGUUACAAACACAACAACAACAGCAGCAAUCUGGAAACAGAUCGUAUGGCUGUUUUGCCUGGCUGUCGUGCAUAUUUUCCUAAAUUAUUUAAGUUUUUCAUGUUGCGAAGAAAAAUUAACCAAUAGCAAAGCCAGUUUCAGAACAAAAUAAACUACCAAAACACAUCCACAUUCCACAGCACCCUUCAAAAUUUAUUCUGAAAACACUGAAAGGAAAAAAGAGAAAAAGAAAUAAAAGUGUUACAGGUUUUAUUGGAUUUACAUUUUACUUUUGUUCCAUUACAAAUUCUCAUCAUCAUUGAUAUUUUUGUUCAUUAUGCGCCACAUACAGCACACAUUUGUGUUCUUCUGAAGAAAACUGCAUUCUUGGGUAAGUUUUUCAUACAACGACAUAAUGUGCAUAAUACCGAGAGUAAAAGAGGGAAAGAAAAAAAAGUUGAAAGUACGAAAAAUGUUGUCACCCUCUUUCAAAAAAAAAAAAAAAAGAAAUCUCUUAAACAUUGUAAAACGAUUUGAAAACGAAAAAGAUGAUUUUGAAAUGAAAUAUAUAUGUAUGUAUGUACAGGUGAUAUGUGAUUGAUUAUAUAUAGCAAUAGUCAUUUUUACCCAAAAUGAAUGUGUGUGUAUGUGUAUUAUUUGUUUUAAAUAUGUUAUUUGUUUACCAUUAAAGAAGAAACAAAUCGAAACCACACGAAGAAAUCUAA